UACGAAGGGGGCUAGCGUUGCUCGGAAUCACUGGGCGUAAAGCGCACGUAGGCGGCUUUCUAAGUCAGGGGUGAAAUCCUGGAGCUCAACUCCAGAACUGCCUUUGAUACUGGAGAGCUCGUGUCCGGAAGAGGUGAGUGGAACUGCGAGUGUAGAGGUGAAAUUCGUAGAUAUUCGCAAGAACACCAGUGGCGAAGGCGGCUCACUGGUCCGGUACUGACGCUGAGGUGCGAAAGCGUGGGGAGCAAACAGG
rnacentral:rRNA from 1 species